rnacentral:RNase_P_RNA from 1 species
GGGGGGUGCGGAGCCGUCGCCGUAGGAACACUGAGUCCUGCGGAGGAAAGUCCGGGCAGUGGAGGGUGCCGUGCCCCUGGUAACAGGGGGAUCCUUUCGGGGAACCGGAGGGAUACGGAGCAGUGCCACAGAAAAUCACCUGCCCCCUACGUGGGGGUAAGGGUGAAAAUCCCCGGGAAAGGGGGCGUGAUGGCUGUGAGGCUAUCACGGGGCAAACCCCACGGGCUGCAAUGCCAAAUAGGCUGGCAAUCCCCACAAGAAAGGGAUAAGGGUUACCCGCCCGAUGCCAGCGGGUAGGCAGCUUAGAUAAAUGACGGCAUGAAACAGAACCCGGCUUACUCGCAUCCCCCAUAA